UAGGGAAUCUUCGGCAAUGGACGGAAGUCUGACCGAGCAACGCCGCGUGAGUGAAGAAGGUUUUCGGAUCGUAAAGCUCUGUUGUUAGAGAAGAACGUUGGUAGGAGUGGAAAAUCUACCAAGUGACGGUAACUAACCAGAAAGGGACGGCUAACUACGUGCCAGCAGCCGCGGUAAUACGUAGGUCCCGAGCGUUGUCCGGAUUUAUUGGGCAUAAAGCGAGCGCAGGCGGUUCUUUAAGUCUGAAGUUAAAGGCAGUGGCUUAACCAUUGUACGCUUUGGAAACUGGAGGACUUGAGUGCAAAAGGGGAGAGUGGAAUUCCAUGUGUAGCGGUGAAAUGCGUAGAUAUAUGGAGGAACACCGGUGGCGAAAGCGGCUCUCUGGUCUGUAACUGACGCUGAGGCUCGAAAGCGUGGGGAGCAAACAGG
rnacentral:rRNA from 1 species